GACGAACGCUGGCGGCAGGCCUAACACAUGCAAGUCGGGCGAGCGGCGGACGGGUGAGUAAUGUAUGGGGAUCUGCCUGAUGGCUGGGGAUAACUACUGGAAACGGUAGCUAAUACCGCAUACCAUCAGAUGAACCCAUAUGGGAUUAGCUAGUGGGUAAGGUAACGGCUUACCUUGGCGACGAUCCCUCGCUGGUCUGAGAGUAUGAUCAGCCACACUGGGACUGAGAUACUGCCCAGACUCCUACUGUAGGCAGCAGUGGGGAAUAUUGCACAAUGGGCGAAAACCUACUGCAGCGACGCCGCGUGGGGUAUGAGGGCUUUCAGGUUGUAAACCUGUCUCGCUAUCGAACGGGUAGGUGGAGAAGAAGCGCCGGCUAACUACGUGCCAGCAGCCGCGGUAAUAC
rnacentral:rRNA from 1 species